rnacentral:rRNA from 1 species
GACGAACGCUGGCGGCGUGCCUAAUACAUGCAAGUCGAGCGGAGUUAGGAGGGAGCUUGCUCCCGAUUAACUUAGCGGCGGACGGGUGAGUAACACGUAGGCAACCUACCCUCUAGACUGGGAUAACUACCGGAAACGGUAGCUAAUACCGGAUAAUUCCUUGACCCUCCUGGGUUAAGGAUGAAAGGCGGAGCAAUCUGCUACUAGAGGAUGGGCCUGCGGCGCAUUAGCUAGUUGGUGGGGUAACGGCCUACCAAGGCGACGAUGCGUAGCCGACCUGAGAGGGUGAACGGCCACACUGGGACUGAGACACGGCCCAGACUCCUACGGGAGGCAGCAGUAGGGAAUCUUCCGCAAUGGGCGAAAGCCUGACGGAGCAACGCCGCGUGAGUGAUGAAGGUUUUCGGAUCGUAAAGCUCUGUUGCCAGGGAAGAACGUCCGGUAGAGUAACUGCUACCGGAGUGACGGUA